rnacentral:tRNA from 2 species
GCGCCCGUAGCUCAGUGGUAGAGCAUCCGACUUUUAAUCGGACGGUCGAAAGUUCGAAUCUUUCCGGGCGUACCA